rnacentral:rRNA from 1 species
GACGAACGCUGGCGGCGUGCUUAACACAUGCAAGUCGAACGGAAAGGCCCCCACUUUUUUGGUGGGGGUGCUCGAGUGGCGAACGGGUGAGUAACACGUGGGUGAUCUGCCCUGUACUUCGGGAUAAGCUUGGGAAACUGGGUCUAAUACCGGAUAGGACCAUGGUUUAGUGUCUCAUGGUGGAAAAAUUAUUGUUUUGGUGCAGGAUGAGCUCGCGGCCUAUCAGCUUGUUGGUGGGGUAAUGGCCUACCAAGGCGUCGACGGGUAGCCGGCCUGAGAGGGUGGACGGCCACAUUGGGACUGAGAUACGGCCCAGACUCCUACGGGAGGCAGCAGUGGGGAAUAGUGCACAAUGGGCGCAAGCCUGAUGCAGCGACGCCGCGUGGGGGAUGACGGCCUUCGGGUUGUAAACUCCUUUCGUUAGGGACGAAGCCGCACCUUUUUUGGGUGUGGUGACGGUACCUUUGUGAAGAAGCACCGGCUAACUACGUG